rnacentral:lncRNA from 1 species
CCUAUAACUAAUUUCUUCUAUUUAAUCUCGAAGUUUCUGCCAUUUUUUUGUUAUGAAUUCAUGGUGGCUACCGCUGGCCAAAUCUACUGCCUUUUUGCUCAAGGUUUUAGCUACCAUUUUGAUGAUGAUGAUGGGGGUUCGAGGUGUGUUGAUGAAGAAUUUGAUAAUGUUGAUGGGCGGCUGAAGGAAGGGAAAUAGUGGCGAAUUUGGGGCGAUGGGUGAAAGGCAAGGGAAUGUUGGUGGUUUUGAUUGAUGGUUUUGGGCGAUGGCUGAAGGCAGGGGAAUGGUGGUGGCUUUGGUCGAUGGUUGAAAGCAAGGGAUGAGGGGGGAAACAAAAAGAUUUAUUUUUUCAGCAAAAGCAAAAUUGACUUGGACCAAGUAAUAUCAGAAAUGGGUUUGUUGGAGUGUGAGGAAGAGGAUGGAAG